rnacentral:rRNA from 1 species
UACAGAGGUCUCAAGCGUUGUUCGGAUUUACUGGGCGUAAAGGGUGUGUAGGCGGUUCUUUAAGUUUGGUGUGAAAUCUCCCGGCUCAACCGGGAGGGUGCGCCGAAUACUGAGGGACUAGAGUGCGGGAGAGGAAAGUGGAAUUCCUGGUGUAGCGGUGAAAUGCGUAGAUAUCAGGAGGAACACCGGUGGUGUAGACGGCUUUCUGGACCGUAACUGACGCUGAGACACGAAAGCGUGGGUAGCAAACAGG